ACUCUAGCGUCGAGGCCUCAGCUGGAAGGGUGGUUCUCCUCCUCCUCCUCCUCCUCCUCUUCGAUAACUGCGGGUCUGUCUGAGUCGUCGAGGUCCCUGUAUUCGCGGAUUCCGCUCACUGAGGAGAUCAAGGGAUGUCUGCCAAGAUCAGUCGACUGGUAGUAACAGUCAUGCUUUCGACGCUGUUCCAAGCAGUAGACAGCUCCUACUACCACCCCUCAAAUGAAGCCUUUGCUCAGACAUCGAACAGAAGGUAAGGUGAAGAAAGUAAGAGAGGGAAUGCCA